AGACAUGUAAAGCCAAAUUGGGUAGGGUUAGNNNNNNNNNNAAGGAAAACCUGACUGAAGAAUGAGGCCUUUACACUUAAGGGCCUUGGGUCCUCGUGAGGUGGCUCAGGUCUGUAAUCACACAACUCUGGGAGGCAGAGGUGGGUCAUUUGAAGUCAGGAGUUCGAGACCAGCCUGGCCAACAUGGUGAAAGUAAACAACACAAAAGUUAGCCAGGCAUGGUGGCGGGCGCCUGUAAUCCCAGCUACUCGGGAGGCUGAGGCAGGAGAACCGCUUGAACCCAUGGAUUGUCAAGAGAAGGAGGCUGCAGUAAGCCGGGAUCGCCCACUGCACUCCAGCCUGGGUGACAGAGUGAGGCUCCAUCUCAACAAGCGCCUGCCACCAUGCCCAGCUAACUUUUGUAUUUUUAGUAGAGACAGGGUUUUACCAUGUUGGCCAGGCUGCUCUAGAACUCCUGACCUCAGGUGAUCCACCCCCCUCAGCCUCCCAAAGUGCUAGGAUUACAGGAAAGAGCCACUGCGCCCUGUCAAAAAACCGAAAAUCUUAAAGGCCUUUCCCCUUCCCCGCCUGGGCUCAAACAACAGCUGGAGCCGCUCUGCCACACCCCGUCGCGGUUCUGGGGAGCAGGCCGGCUGACUGAGGGCGAUCAUGGGCCCCGAAAGGGCUGCGGGCGACGCGGGCUCCCAGCUCGGGGCUCGGGGACGAGGGCGAGAGGUGCCAGCAGCCCCCAAGCCAAUCCCCGCAAGGAGACAGAGAGACGCGCCCUCCGCCUCCUCCCACCCAAGCCUCCGGCAGUCCAGGCGAUUGGGGCGGGCCAGCCACAGGAGAAAGGGGCGCAUUCGCCCCGCCUGGGGAACCGGGGCCUCUCCCAGGCAGGCUCCCCUUUGUCCGGGUACUUCCGGAGCCUCCUCUCCGCCCUCGCCCUGCCCUUUGGGGCCGCCGCUGGGCGCUGACACGGACACCGACACAGACACGGACACCUUUCCCUCAUCUCCCGCGGGAGGGGCGCUGAAGCACCAGCCCUGUCCCUAGAGUUACCUGUGUCAAGAAGAGCAUGCUUCAAGUGGCUGGAGUGAGCAAUUCAACUUGUGGAGGAAUGAGAAAUGAUAGUGUUGAGACAAGAAACACAAAACCCCAGGGUAAGGUAGGAAUCACUGAAAGUCAGGCAAAGGAACUGGCAUCCAGUGAUGAGUCAGGCUUUGCCAGCCUCUGGCCCUACAGAUGGCUCUUUGGAGAGGAAAAAAUGAAGCCAGGCCCGAGGGCAAAGAUCGUAAGGGAAUGCCGGCAGCUCUAGGCUGUCUAUGAGAGUCCAGAUUUGCUGCUUCAUCCCGGGGCUUUAGGCAAGUCCCCUUUCCUCCCAGAGCUUCAGUCUCCCUUCUAUCAAAUGAUGAUGUUCUGCCUUUCUCCUAGGAUGGCUGUGGAGAUCCAGGGAGACAGUGGCCAUAGGGAUGCUAUGUUAACUGCAGAUGCAGCCGUAGGAGCACUUUGCUAACUGCCAACGUGAGUUCAGACUCUUCAGGCUAUUUGGCACCCAGGUCUGUGGUGAGGUGUGACAUGUGGGAUGUAAGGUUUGAUGCCUGCUCCGACUCCAGUCUUGCUAACACCCGCUAAACAUUUGGCAAAUCAUGACCCUACCUUGGGGAAAAGGGCAGUCUGGGAGAGCUUCUUCAAGGCAGGCUGGCUUCAAUGCAGUCCGGGGCAUGACUGAGACAGGCUUACGUGGUGAGGAAUUGGAGGGUAACUGGGUAAAGAGCUGCCAUGGGCAGAGGUGUAGUGUGGGUCGCAUCGAGGAUAGCCCCUGGCCAAAGCAGGGAACAGAGACAGAAUGAGGAAGAGCUGUGUGGGGCAGGUGGGGCAUAGGGUGGAGAACCUUCAAAGUCUGAAGAGUGUGACUUGUUGGGGUUCAAUGCUGUAGGCAGUAGGGAGCCAUGGAAGGCUCUUAGGUGGAGAAAUGACAGCUGGAUAUUAGUGAGCAAGCCCUGUCUCCAUGAGCAGCGUGGGUGGUCCUCUGAGCACACCAGGCACGAGUGUG
rnacentral:lncRNA from 1 species